rnacentral:tRNA from 1 species
GCAGGUGUAGUUUAAUGGUAGAACCUCAGCCUUCCAAGCUGAUUGUGAGGGUUCGAUUCCCUUCACCUGCUCCA